rnacentral:rRNA from 1 species
UACGUAGGGGGCAAGCGUUAUCCGGAAUUACUGGGUGUAAAGGGAGCGUAGACGGUAAUGUAAGUCUGGAGUGAAAGGCGGGGGCCCAACCCCCGGACUGCUCUGGAAACUAUGUUACUAGAGUGCAGGAGAGGUAAGCGGAAUUCCUAGAGUAGCGGUGAAAUGCGUAGAUAUUAGGAGGAACACCAGUGGCGAAGGCGGCUUACUGGACUGUAACUGACGUUGAGGCUCGAAAGCGUGGGGAGCAAACAGG